GUGCAACACCUGAAAUUCCUGGGGCGAAUCAAACAGCAAAUUAAAGCUCAGACAACCUUCACCUGCAAACCAUGCACAGUAUAAGGAACUCAUUUUAAUGUUUUCUGGCUGAAGUCAUAGGGGAUAAGAAAACAAAAGAAUGGCCACGAAGGAAUCCUGGACAUUGUUACCAUUUACCUCCACUGGAUAUCUAUUUUCUUUCAAAAAGCACAAUCAACGUGCCUUUUCCCUGAUUUUCUCUGCCAAACAUAUCAGAUUGUGGGAGGUUUAUGGAUACACAGUACUUCACAGGCAACCUGAAAGGUCCCAAUUUGGGCCCCGAGUCUGCUGGAGAAAAGAGAAAGGCUAAGAAGCAGCCUACCUUACCUGUGGCUCUGGGUCUGAGGAUGGCCAGGAGAACAGAGAGCAAAGCAGAGCCAAUGCAAGACCUCUGGCCCUGGAAGCCGAAGGGUCUCUCACAGGUCAACGCAGGAUCUACUCCAUCAUCAUCUUCACUAGCACACCCAGUUCGAUUGAGGAGCCUUGACGUGGGAUAUUGAUGGGAUAUUGAGAGAAAAGAGAAAUGGUGAAUCAAGCACUAAUCUCAAAGCUUCUGCACAGAACUACUUACAUGUCACUUCCUCCCAUGACUAUUCCUAAAUUCAGCCAAAAGGGGACACAUAAUCUCUUACGGGGGAGGGCACCACGGGGAGAGAAACCCGAAUAUUUGGUGAAUAGUAACACAAUCUACUUUGUUAUAGAAUCUGUCCUCAAUGGUCUUACAGUCUAAGAGCAUUACAUUUAGUUACGGUAGUCUUAAAUAUGAUACUAAAUGAAUUGAAUAGCCAGACAUCUGUGAAAGUAAAACUGUGAUAAUACAAAGUCAGUGUGCUUUUAAGUUUCAAUUGCUUAAAGUUAUUUGGAAGUAAGGAUCACAUGAGUUCAGAGCCCCAGGAUUCAAAAAUAACUCCGGAAUCUUUUAUCACUCCCCAAAGGAAAAGCAAUAAUAAGUAAGUUACCAGACAUUCAUGUAAUCUCUCUGAAACUGUAAGACUAACAAAGGAAAAUUUUCAAAAGGCAGAAAUACUUUAUUAUUUAUUUGCAAUAGAAAUUAUUCAGCCGGGCGCGGUGGCUCAUGCCUGUAAUCCCAGCACUUUGGGAGGCCGAGGCGAGUGGAUCACCUGAGGUCGGGAGUUCGAGACCAGCCUGACCAACAUGGAGAAACCCCGUCUCUACUAAAAAUACACAAUUAGCUGGGCAUGGUGGCACAUGCCUGCAAGCCCAGCUACUCAGGAGGCUAAGGCAGGAGCGACAGAGCGAGACUCCAUCUCAAAAAAAAAAGAAAGAAAGAAAGGAAAAAAAGAAAAGAAAAGAAACAAAGAAA
rnacentral:lncRNA from 1 species